rnacentral:lncRNA from 1 species
AUGCUAAAUAAACAACACUGUUGCGGCACAGGCAGACAAGCUCUCCAGGAUACAGGUUGGCUAAAGAGGCGCAAGGUGAAGGAUAACAAAUAUCCCCCAUACAGCUCCCAUGGCAGAUUUGGAUCCCUCCCACUGUGCCCCUGGAGAAGAAGCCCAUCACUUUCGUGCUGGUACCACUACGCUGACAGCCACCAGGCAGCCAGACCAAGCCACCAAACAUGCUGGUGGCCAAGAGCCCCCUUCCAACCAGCCCCAGCCACCUUUGGACCUGCAGGGCACACAGCAACCAGCAUCAGGCAUGUCAGAGAGCGAGAGGAGGCACUGGAGAACCUAACACCAAAGCACGUCUUGCCCAAAGGGGAAGAUGUUCCUAACCCUGAAGGUCCUCUGCAGUGAGCGUGGCUGUGCCUGACACAUAAAGGACAUGCACACAACACACACAUCCCUCCUGCAGCCCGCUGCUGAGCUUUGCUUUCACUCUGAGUGCCCAUAGGACAGUCCGGUCUGCCUGGACCUCGGCUGACCAAGUGAGGAAGAGGGAUGCAUGCGAGUCCGAGAGGCUGCUCGAAGGCUUAAACCUCGCUCAAACAGCAGUGGGGGACUUGGGAUGGACGAUGCUCUGCAACAUGCAGAACUCCAGGCACAAAAAGCAAAAAAUGUGAGAUUGUUUUGGACCUACACUGAUCUCCACAGCAGGGAAGUGCAGCAUAGAGCUUGUUGGUGUAGGAGGCUGUGGGCUUUAUCUAUUUUUCACCCUUUCCCCAUGUAGGGUUUUGUUCCUAGUACUACAGUGCCUACUGCUUUCAUUCAUCUCACCUUCACACUGAACACCCAACAUACUCCAGUGGGUACCUGCACUACUGCCCUGACUCACUUCUGCCCCACCAUCCCCUCCCCUGCUCCCAGGCUGGAUGAGCUGGACCUAUUUUCUCAAUAACUGGAAAAGGUGGGCAUAUAUCCUGCUUAUUGGUUGCCUGAUAUGAUACGAUAUGAGGGAACAUCUCCCAGAGCAAGACUGGGCUUGGAAAGCUG